rnacentral:rRNA from 1 species
GAUGAACGCUGGCGGCGUGCCUAAUACAUGCAAGUCGAGCGAACAGACGAGGAGCUUGCUUCUCUGACGUUAGCGGCGGACGGGUGAGUAACACGUGGAUAACCUACCUAUAAGACUGGGAUAACUUCGGGAAACCGGAGCUAAUACCGGAUAAUAUAUUGAACCGCAUGGUUCAAUAGUGAAAGACGGUUUUGCUGUCACUUAUAGAUGGAUCCGCGCCGCAUUAGCUAGUUGGUAAGGUAACGGCUUACCAAGGCAACGAUGCGUAGCCGACCUGAGAGGGUGAUCGGCCACACUGGAACUGAGACACGGUCCAGACUCCUACGGGAGGCAGCAGUAGGGAAUCUUCCGCAAUGGGCGAAAGCCUGACGGAGCAACGCCGUGUGAGUGAUGAAGGUCUUCGGAUCGUAAAACUCUGUUAUUAGGGAAGAACAAAUGUGUAAGUAACUAUGCACGCCUUGACGGUACCUAAUCAGAAAGCCACGGCUAACUACGUG